rnacentral:rRNA from 1 species
AUUGAACGCUGGCGGCAGGCUUAACACAUGCAAGUCGAGCGGAGCGAGGGUGCUUGCACCUUAGCUUAGCGGCGGACGGGUGAGUAAUGCUUAGGAAUCUGCCUAUUAGUGGGGGACAACAUUCCGAAAGGAAUGCUAAUACCGCAUACGCCCUACGGGGGAAAGCAGGGGAUCUUUGGACCUUGCGCUAAUAGAUGAGCCUAAGUCGGAUUAGCUAGUUGGUGGGGUAAAGGCCUACCAAGGCGACGAUUUGUAGCGGGUCUGAGAGGAUGAUCCGCCACACUGGGACUGAGACACGGCCCAGACUCCUACGGGAGGCAGCAGUGGGGAAUAUUGGACAAUGGGCGGAAGCCUGAUCCAGCCAUGCCGCGUGUGUGAAGAAGGCCUUUUGGUUGUAAAGCACUUUAAGCGAGGAGGAGGCUCUUAAGGUUAAUACCCUUGAUGAGUGGACGUUACUCGCAGAAUAAGCACCGGCUAACUCUGUGCCAGCCGCCGCGGUAACAC